GAAGCAGGGAAGGGAAGGGAAGGGGGAGCACGGCCGCUGGCUGACUUUGAGGGCGCUGAUGUGGCGCUCACGUGGCCGCGCGGCGCAGGUACCGCGGCGGAGGGAGGGACGCGGGGAGGAAGGGCCUCCCCCUCCUCCUCCUCCUGCCGCCUAUGCCGAUGCUGCUCCCGCCGCCUCUUUCUCUCGCUGCUAUUCCUUGUCUCCGAGUAACGCGUGGAAUCCCCCGCUGGCGCUCCACGAAGCCGACCGAGAGCCUCCCCCCGCCGAGCGCUGCGGAGAACGCUUGUUCCCCUCUGCGCACAAAAGUCUCUGGAGAUUUCCUUGCCCCCGCCGCUCCCGCCCCCUGCAGCGAGAAACCUCCAAAACAGCAAUUCCUUCCACUAUUUUUGUUGUUGCUGUUUUUCUUUGCUUACUUAUUCAUUCAUUCAUUCAUUCAUUCAUUCACGUUUCAACGCAGAAUAAGGUGACGCAGUGUGAAGCAGGAGGAUGAAUUUCAUUCAGUGCAGGAUGUGAUGAGUUCAAGGAGAAGCCCAGAUGUCGGGUGUUAAAGCCCUCCCUCAGGGCUCCUGGAGACACUUUUUGAUGUGGAGUGCCUGGCUAGAGCUCAGAGCAACAUCCAAGGUGAAUACAAAUGUGCUGUGCAGCCAGCCCUCUCUGUGUAGCCCCAGCCAGCGAUCUUCACGAGUUUCACUCUGAAUGCUUCUUUCUUCAUCCAUCUCGAGCUCCAACCAGCAACCACACAGUAAACUCGCCAGAUGAGGUUCCCCACAAGAUGAAAAGGAGCAGUAAAAAUUACGGCUUCCCAAACCAUCCCUUAGGGUGAAUAAAGACAGCUUCUAGUAAAGGAGAGAGAGAAAGUUCCUUGGUCACAAAGUUCUGUCACGGCCCUUCCCCUCAGCUGAUGGCAAUUUAUACAGACAUAAAGGAGUAACUUGCAAAUCAGAAAUUUUCUAGGCCUGAGCCAGGGAGUUUGGACAGAGUAAGUAAAAUCCUGCAACCUGUCUUAAGCUGUGAGGUACCCCUCUAAGCUUUAAGGACAACUGUGGGAAAAGAACAGAGAAACGAAAAGCAAGAAACAAUUUUUCAGGCUAAAAACUUAAAACUAUAUGUCAACAUUUCCUUUUAUACAACAGCUACAUGAAGCUAUGGGAUAAAACUGGCCUGACAGAACAGCUGUCAGGUUCCUGGUCUAUUCCCCACUGCCAGCUCGGCUGGGUCAUUCCAGGGCCUUCAACACAUCCCCCACCCCUGUGUUUCAUUAAAAUGUAAAUGUGCUCUUACAUGCAAGCUGCUUGAAUGGCUGGUCAGCAGAGCGCUUGGGGGAUGUGGGAGGCGCACAGGGGAAGGGCUGAGCCGGCAGACUCUCCCUGACGUGCUGGGAGAACACGUGUGGUAUUCGUGAUAGGCAGUGGUCAUGGCUUUGCUAUAAAACUGUAUUUUCCCAACCUUCAAGCCAAAUAUUUGUUUAAAGGUUAGAAAAUAUUUGCCUAAGAACACUCCUCUUUUCAGUUAUAGGAAACUGCGGCUGGGUAAGCUGAACAGUUUUAUUUACCAGCCUCCUUCAGUUUUCCAUUUUUAUGAAUCAGUCAUUCUCCAUUUUUAGAAGCCUUUCACACUUGGAGGCUUGCUGGGCUGAAGAGAAAAGGAGGACUCUGCUGAACAGAGCCUGCAAUACUCUCUUCUCAAUUUUUAUCCCCAAAGCAUUUUAGAGGGAUGGGCUGAGGGGAAUAAUGGCAGAGCAUCGCAGCUGUGUCACCAAAACAUUCAGUUCUUGCUUCCAAAGCAAACAUCUGGACAGUCUGAGUUUCAGCCACCGUUAUUGAUAUUCAUAUUUUAACUCAAAGUACUUAAUAUAACUGAUAACUUAAUUAUAGAUUUCUUUGGGAUAGAAAUACGUCUUCAUAUUCAGUUUUCUGUUUUUCAGUGAUUGUAUUUUCCAUGAUAAUAUCACAUGUGAAUGUGGUUAUGGCAUUCCAGCUUCAUUCCACAGCAUGCUAUAUCCAUUUUCAUGUUUUCCUACUCGAAGAUUAGGCUAGUCAAGGAUUCAGUGUACUGAAUUCUGUGUUAAGUGCCAUAUAACAGGACAUCACAACAUGCUUUGGCAGGGAGUGACUGAAACUGGAGUUACAGAACAGCCUUUCCCCAGCAGAAAUUUCACUCUCUGGUGAUCAUCCCUCUUAAUAAAACAUGAAUCCCGUUAAUAAAGUGUACCACAUCAUCA